rnacentral:lncRNA from 1 species
GGGACAAGGAUGGGGACAGGGAUUGGGAUGGAGACAGGGACAUGAUGCCACCCUGAGGCUCCUCCGUGGGCAUUUUGGGGUCUCCACGGAGCCCCCAUCGUCCGCCCCGCAGGGCUGCUGAGCGCCUACCCCCUGUUCGGCUCGUCCUUCUUCUACGUCCAGAGCUGCAGCAACAACGCCAUCGCCUCGCCCUGCAUCCUGGCCGUCAACCAGAACGGCCUCAACUUCCUCAGCAAGGACACCCACGAGCCGGUGGCCAAAUUCUCGCUGAAGGAGAUCCAGGCCACGCGGACGCGGCGGCCGAGCCCCGGCUCCAGCUCCCCCUACGUGGAGAUCACAUUGGGGGAGCUGCUGGCGCAGGGCAUCACCCAGCUGCAGCUGGAGCAGGGCUUGGAGCUGUGCCGCGUGGUGGCCGCGCACGUGGAGAGGCUGCUGGGCGCGCGGGAGAAGAGGCUGACGCUGCCGCCCAGCGAGAUCACCCUGCUCUGAGACCCCCCCACGGCACCCAAACAGCGCUGGAUGGACCUGGAGGGGGGAUUUUGGGGGGUUUUGGGGGGGUUUUGGGGUUUGGGAAUGGGGUCCCCCAGGCUGCUGUAUCCCCCCCUUGUGCCCCUCCGCGGGCUGUGCCCCCGAGGAUUUGAUACAAGGCUGCCCCCCUUGGCCUGUGUCUGUGUCUGUGCUGAGCUCGCUGACAGUGGGGGUGCCGAAUGGGGACCCCUCGGCCCCCCUAAUCCCUCCCAGCCCCC